rnacentral:misc_RNA from 1 species
UAAGACAGAUUGGUACCAGCAGAAC